rnacentral:rRNA from 1 species
UACGGAAGGAGCAGUGGGGAAUAUUGCACAAUGGGCGAAAGCCUGAUGCAGCUAUGCCGCGUGUAUGAAGAAGGCCUUAGGGUUGUAAAGUACUUUCAUCGGGGAGGAAAAACAAAACUAAUAAUUUUAUUUCUUGACGUUACCCGAAAAAGAAGCACCGGCUAACUCCGUGCCAGCAGCCGCGGUAAUACGGAGGGUGCUAGCGUUAAUCAGAAUUACUGGGCGUAAAGAGCACGUAGGUGGUUUUUUUAAGUCAGAUGUGAAAUCCCUGGGCUUAACCUAGGAACUGCAUUUUGAAACUGAAAUACUAGAGUAUCGUAGAGGGAGGUAGAAUUCUAGGUGUAGCGGUGAAAUGCGUAGAUAUCUGGAGGAAUACCUGUGGCGAAAGCGGCCUCCUAAACGAAUACUGACACUGAGGGUGCGAAAGCGUGGGGAGCAAACAGGGAUUAGAUACC